UACGUAGGGUGCAAGCGUUGUCCGGAAUUAUUGGGCGUAAAGAGCUCGUAGGCGGUUUGUUGCGUCGGCUGUGAAAUCCCGAGGCUCAACCUCGGGUCUGCAGUCGAUACGAGCAACUAGAGUGUUGCAGGGGAGACUGGAAUUCCUGGUGUAGCGGUGAAAUGCGCAGAUAUCAGGAGGAACACCGGUGGCGAAGGCGGGUCUCUGGGCAACACUG
rnacentral:rRNA from 1 species